rnacentral:rRNA from 1 species
CCUACGGGAGGCAGCAGUGGGGGAUAUUGCACAAUGGGGGAAACCCUGAUGCAGCGACGCCGCGUGAGUGAAGAAGUAUUUCGGUAUGUAAAGCUCUAUCAGCAGGGAAGAAAAUGACAGUACCUGACCAAGAAGCCCCGGCUACCUACGUGCCAGCAGCCGCGGUAAUACGUAAGGGCCAGCGGUUUUCCGGAUUGAUUGGGGGUAAAGGGGGGUUAGAGGGUUUUGAAAGACGGGGGUGAAAGCCCGGGGCCCAACCCCGGGAUUGCUUGGGAAACUGGGUAACUGGAGUACAGGUGGGGCAGGCGGAAUUCCUGGUGUAGCGGUGAAAUGCGUAGAUAUCAGGAGGAACACCGGCGGCGAAGGCGGCCUGCUGGACUGAAACUGACGUUGAGGCUCGAAAGCGUGGGGAGCAAACAGGAUUAGAUACCCCAGUAGUC